CCUAAGUGUAAUUUAAAAUUACUUACAAGUCCCUCACUUAUUUACACUUUGGUCCUAGCUCUAGAACUUUCUACACACUCUAGGACCUUCCAUUGCCUUCUAAGUUAUUCUAGAGAAUUCUAGGGAAUUCUCUAGCCUUCUUGAAUAAUCUAAAGGGUUCUAGAGUCUUCCGGAAACCUCUCCACAACUCUAGACCCUUCCGCCCCUAUCCGGACGCAAAAUUCUACUGCGAAGUGGCGGGACGUGACAACGGGCUAACAAGAGCGAGUUCAGGCUCGCAACUCGAACUUCAGACAUCUUGUUAGUCAUUCCUUAAUAAACUCGGUCCCCUCCUGCCUCCAAGAUCGAUCAAAAUUCAUCGGAAUCACUGAACACCCAAAUAACCAGAAAUUUCAGGUUGUUGAACAGCUAAACAAGCCAAAAUCACAAACUAAGUUCACACAUGCAAUCAAAGGAGGAACUAUGAAUUCCCAAAUCGGGGGAAGAAACAACAUCAACUACAAAAAGAGAACUCAAAUCAAAACCUAAAAUCCAGAGCAGUGAUGAGAGCGAACUCACAGACGUCAAAGGAACAACACCGAGAUAGCGAGACUGAGCUGGAAGAAGAGGUUUAUCAGCUUUGUGAAACCCAGCCAAACAUUGCCAACCUUUUAUCUCGAC
rnacentral:lncRNA from 1 species